CCUACGGGAGGCAGCAGUGAGGAAUAUUGGUCAAUGGACGCAAGUCUGAACCAGCCAUGCCGCGUGCAGGAAGACGGCUCUAUGAGUUGUAAACCGCUUUUGUACGAGGGUAAACGCAGACACGCGUAUCUGUCUGAAAGUAUCGUACGAAUAAGGAUCGGCUAACUCCGUGCCAGCAGCCGCGGUAAUACGGAGGAUUCAAGCGUUAUCCGGAUUUAUUGGGUUUAAAGGGUGCGUAGGCGGUCGGUUAAGUGAGGGGUGAAAUCUCGAGGCUCAACCUCGGAAUUGCCGCUGAUACUGUUCGGCUAGAGAGGAGGUGCGGUAGGCGGAAUGUGUGGUGUAGCGGUGAAAUGCUUAGAGAUGAUGCAGAACACCGAUUGCGAAGGCAGCUUACCAAGCUACUACUGACGUUGAGGCACGAAAGCGUGGGGAGCAAACAGGAUUAGAUACCCUUGUAGUC
rnacentral:rRNA from 1 species